UACGGAGGGGGCUAGCGUUGUUCGGAAUUACUGGGCGUAAAGCGCACGUAGGCGGCUUUGUAAGUUAGAGGUGAAAGCCCGGGGCUCAACUCCGGAAUUGCCUUUAAGACUGCAUCGCUAGAAUUGUGGAGAGGUAAGUGGAAUUCCGAGUGUAGAGGUGAAAUUCGUAGAUAUUCGGAAGAACACCAGUGGCGAAGGCGGCUCACUGGUCCGGUACUGACGCUGAUGUGGCGAAAGCGUGGGGGAGCAAACA
rnacentral:rRNA from 1 species